AGAGUUUGAUCCUGGCUCAGGACGAACGCUGGCGGCGUGCUUAACACAUGCAAGUCGAGCGGUGAACCACCUUCGGGUGGGGAUCAGCGGCGAACGGGUGAGUCACGCGUGGGCAACCAGCCCUCAGCUCUGGGAUAACUCCGGGAAACCGGGGCUAAUACCGGAUACGGCUUCCUGCGGCAUCUUGGGAAGUGGAAAGUUUUUCGGCUGAGGAUGGGCCCGCGGCCUAUCAGCUUGUUGGUGGGGUAAUGGCCCACCAAGGCGACGACGGGUAGCCGGCCUGAGAGGGCGACCGGCCACACUGGGACUGAGACACGGCCCAGACUCCUACGGGAGGCAGCAGUGGGGAAUAUUGCGCAAUGGGCGAAAGCCUGACGCAGCGACGCCGCGUGAGGGAUGAAGGCCUUCGGGUUGUAAACCUCUUUCAGCAGGGACGAAGCGAAAGUGACGGUACCUGCAGAAGAAGCACCGGCCAACUACGUGCCAGCAGCCGCGGUAAUACGUAGGGUGCAAGCGUUGUCCGGAAUUAUUGGGCGUAAAGAGCUCGUAGGCGGUUUGUCGCGUCGGCUGUGAAAACUCGGGGCUCAACCCCGAGCCUGCAGUCGAUACGGGCAGACUAGGGUGCUGUAGGGGAGACUGGAAUUCCUGGUGUAGCGGUGAAAUGCGCAGAUAUCAGGAGGAACACCGGUGGCGAAGGCGGGUCUCUGGGCAGUAACUGACGCUGAGGAGCGAAAGCGUGGGGAGCGAACAGGAUUAGAUACCCUGGUAGUCC
rnacentral:rRNA from 1 species